CUUUACUGCAAAGAAAACCAAUAAUUACAUUUACCUAUUGCUUUAUCCUGCAAAUUUAGACUACACAAAAUACAUUUUAAUUACUCGAAGAUAAAAGGGAGCCUCAGAUAUAAUUUGCUACUCGUUCUCUUUACAGAAGACGAAAUGUUAAGAAAGGAGUUCAGGAGGAAAUGCUUGCGAGGGAAUUUAUAACCACUUCUUUGCUUCUGGGAAUGCCUGAUGCCGACGGGUUUGAACUGGAGGCUUCCUUGUUUGUUCAUUGGAAAGGUGUUUACCCAAGAGAAAUAAAUGUCCCCGUUUAAAGACUAGUCCACAAAUGUGCACAGUAGUAUUUGUUACAUACGAAGGCUGGAAAAAACCCAGAUGUUCAUCACAAGGUCUCUCUCAUCAGAGUUUCUGUUGACUGUGCUGUCCAUGACCAGGAAAAGUCUUGUCCUGCAUUUGCUCACUUCAGGUACCAAAACUGGGGGUCAUGCAUGCAUCAUGUUUUCUAUAGAAGGUAGGUUUCUUAACUUCCAAAAGAAAUGGAAUUCACUCUACAUCAUUAAAGUAGAUGAUAUGUUAAUUAAAGGUAAUUAAGUUAUAUGCAGAAUUGUGAGAAUGGCUAAGGAAAUAUAUUCAAAGGUAAGAUGGCAGGGAACGCGCUCCAAGCCAUACCCCAACCUGGCCUCCUGCUGCAUCCCGUUGAGGAGGUUUAACUUGCCUGCUGUUGUCAAUCCACAAUACUGCAUUAGGAACCUGCUUUGAAAUCUUCCCUGUGUC
rnacentral:lncRNA from 13 species